AAUCAACGCUGGCGGCGUGCCUCAGACAUGCAAGUCGAACGCGAAAUUUCCCUUCGGGAGAAAGUAGAGUGGCGCACGGGUGAGUAACACGUAGGUAAUUUGCCUUUGGGUGGGAAUAACUCAGGGAAACUUGAGCUAAUACCGCAUAAUGCAGCGGCUCGACAUCGAGACAGUUGUUAAAGCGGGGGAUCGCAAGACCUCGCGCCUAAAGAGAAGCCUGCGGCAGAUUAGCUAGUUGGUAGGGUAAUGCCUACCAAGGCAACGAUCUGUAACCGGCCUGAGAGGCGGUCGGUCACACUGGCACUGACAUACGGGUCAGACUCCUACGGAGGCAGCAGUCGGGAAUUUUGGGCAAUGGGCGAAAGCCUGACCCAGCAACGCCGCGUGAAGGAUGAAAUCCCUCGGGAUGUAAACUUCGCAAGAACGGGAAGAAUAAGUAAGAAGAUAAUACCUUCUAUAGAUGACGGUACCGUUUGUAAGCUCCGGCUAACUUCGUGCCAGCCGCCG
rnacentral:rRNA from 1 species